AUGGAACGGUGGGACAAACCAACAUACAUCUCCAACGGAGCUCUCGGCAAGCUCUACCGAGCGGCUGCGAGCCGUAUGCAGAGCGCUCCUGCCCCCUCGUCUUCGGCUCAAUCGAGCCCAGCGUUCGAUCCUGACCUAGAGGUCCCUGGCUUUGAGGAAUUCCUGGUAUCCGCGGAGGAGUGCUAUGACCUGUAUGCGGAGAAGCUGAGCACCCUGAUGAGCUACUAUGGUGCGGAGCAUGAGGACGAGAUCCUGACGGGCAACAUCCAGAAUAGGCUCCUGUACCUGAAGAAGGACAACAAGAGGUACUUCGAGAUGAAGGACCGCAUCAUCGACUCGGUGGAGGGCCUGCACAAGGAGGUGCAGGGUUGGUUCAGGAGCCGCCCGAAGGCAGAGGCGUCGAGGUGGGCGUCGGCGUGGUACUGCGUGACUUAUCACCCGGAACACCGACGGCCGGGAAAGAAGCACUUCUGGAGCUUCCCGUGGAUUGUCUGCGACGAGCUGCUGAAGAUCAAGAAGUCCAGUAAGCGGCGCAGGCAGCAGGUGGAUGACGCGGCGGCCUGA
rnacentral:rRNA from 1 species